GCAGGUGUAAUCUAGCUGGUUAGGAUUUCAGCCUUCCAAGCUGACCGCCCGGGUUCGAAUCCCGGCACCUGCA
rfam:Methanomassiliicoccales archaeon RumEn M1 contig00020, whole genome shotgun sequence.